rnacentral:rRNA from 1 species
AGAGUUAGAUCUGGCUCAGAGUGAACGCUGGCGGCAGGCCUAACACAUGCAAGUCGAACGGCAGCACAGUAAGAGCUUGCUCUUAUAGGUGGCGAGUGGCGGACGGGUGAGGAAUACAUCGGAAUCUACUCUUUCGUGGGGGAUAACGUAGGGAAACUUACGCUAAUACCGCAUACGACCUACGGGUGAAAGCGGAGGACCUUCGGGCUUCGCGCGGUUGAAUGAGCCGAUGUCGGAUUAGCUAGUUGGCGGGGUAAAGGCCCACCAAGGCGACGAUCCGUAGCUGGUCUGAGAGGAUGAUCAGCCACACUGGAACUGAGACACGGUCCAGCCUCCUACGGGAGGCAGCAGUGGGGAAUAUUGGACAAUGGGCGCAAGCCUGAUCCAGCCAUGCCGCGUGGGUGAAGAAGGCCUUCGGGUUGUAAAGCCCUUUUGUUGGGAAAGAAAAGCAGUCGGUUAAUACCCGAUUGUUCUGACGGUACCCAAAGAAUAAGCACCGGCUAACUUCGUGCCAGCAGCCGCGGUAAUACGAAGGGUGCAAGCGUUACUCGGAAUUACUGGGCGUAAAGCGUGCGUAGGUGGUGGUUUAAGUCUGUUGUGAAAGCCCUGGGCUCAACCUGGGAAUUGCAGUGGAUACUGGAUCACUAGAGUGUGGUAGAGGGUAGCGGAAUUCCCGGUGUAGCAGUGAAAUGCGUAGAGAUCGGGAGGAACAUCCGUGGCGAAGGCGGCUACCUGGACCAACACUGACACUGAGGCACGAAAGCGUGGGGAGCAAACAGGAUUAGAUACCCUGGUAGUCCACGCCCUAAACGAUGCGAACUGGAUGUUGGGUGCAAUUUGGCACGCAGUAUCGAAGCUAACGCGUUAAGUUCGCCGCCUGGGGAGUACGGUCGCAAGACUGAAACUCAAAGGAAUUGACGGGGGCCCGCACAAGCGGUGGAGUAUGUGGUUUAAUUCGAUGCAACGCGAAGAACCUUACCUGGUCUUGACAUCCA